rnacentral:lncRNA from 1 species
GAGUGGUGCUACACCUAUUUGGUUUGGUUUUUAAUGGCCUCAUUUGGCAAAACAAUCAUUAUCUAUUCUAAGUUCUCAGAUUUAUCAAACUUAUACUGGACCCUGACAUCCAAAACUCAGAGCCACUGAUUUGGGAUGAAGUCCAGUUCCUUGGUGUGAUGUUCUAGCCCUUCUCCAUUUGCCCAGCCUCCUGUUCUUCCCUGCCCUCACCCAGCUCUCUGACCUGACCGUGGACUCUUCUUUGUCCCCAGGCCUUUGGGCCUCAUCUUUCUAGCCCCAUUUCCACGGUUCAUAAUCCUAUCCAGAUGCCACCUCCUGGGAGAAACCACCCCAUCUGUGGCCUCUUCCACUGAGUGCCCAGAACACACAGUCCCUUACACACCUGUACUUUGGAGUGUGCGUGGUCUGGUGAGCUGUGGAGUGACUGUCAUCUUUCUCUAUUCCUCAAUUCUGGAACACAGUGGGCAUGAAGAACUGGGUUGGUGUUAGGACUUCUGUACCCUUUGGGUCAUAUUUCUGUGUCAGUUCAUGUCAUAUAUUUCUUUUUUUUUUGUUUUUUAUUCUAAUUUGUUAUAUAUGACAGUAGGAUGCAUUACAAUUCAUAUUACACAUAUAGAGCACAAUUUUUCAUGUCUCUGGUUGUACACAAAGUAGAAUCACACCAUUCAUGUCUUCAUACAUGUACUUAGGGUAACAAUGUCCUUCUCAUU